rfam:Clostridium sp. CAG:221 genomic scaffold, scf11
GAACGCCGUAUGAGCUGGAAACUCUCACGUACGGUGUGAAGUGGGGGAAAAGAUGAAGAUAACAUCAAAGUCUUACCUAUCACUAU